GGAGAGGUAGCGUAGUGGCCUAACGCGCUCGCCUGGAACGCGAGUAAGGGUAACACCUUCGUGGGUUCGAAUCCCACCCUCUCCG
rnacentral:tRNA from 1 species